rnacentral:lncRNA from 1 species
UGAACGGCCAAGAAAAACACUGUCGACUGAUUUACGAGACAAUAUUAUUCGAGAAAUGUGACCAGAUAUAAAAUUAAACGUGAAAAUAUACGAUUAACAUAGAUUUGCAUGUGAAUUCUCAAUAUUAGUGGGAUUUACAAAUCUUAAUUUAUAUAAUACCUACUUAUAAAUUUUCAGAUUCAUCUCCAUACCCGCCUCUGUCCGCAAACAACCAAGGGGAGAUGCAAGAACCUUGACGGGCCUAUGAAAAUGAUAUCACGGUCGACAUAGGAAUACACUUAAUGUUUCUCUAUGCCGCGAUAUCUUCACUUUGCUACAUCGAACGUACAGCAAUCAAUCAUGUUUUAUUCGGAGACAGUUCUUUGUGAUUCUCUAUGUAUUUGGUAAUUAACGACGCUCAUGUCAUGCCUUCCACCUCUGAUGGUUACUUUACUUGCUUUGUUAUAAGGCACUCUGCUUAUCUGAAAUGAUUGCUUUUAAAUGGAGUACACAUGUCUAAUCUGUCCCGUUUCAGAGUACGUAUAAUAUUGAAUUUAUAAAGUAAAUGUAGCCAUUAAAAUUUAAGAUAUAUUAUAAUAUUAAAAAAAAAAAACAAUACAAAUUGUUUGUAGUCGAGCAGAACACUUUUUUCUUUCUUUUCUUUUCUUUGUUUUGUUUCUUUUUAAUAUAACUAUAUCUUACUUUGUGAAUAAAAUUAUCAUUCA